rnacentral:rRNA from 1 species
AUUGAACGCUGGCGGCAGGCUUAACACAUGCAAGUCGAGCGGAGAUGAGGUGCUUGCACCUUAUCUUAGCGGCGGACGGGUGAGUAAUGCUUAGGAAUCUGCCUAUUAGUGGGGGACAACAUUCCGAAAGGAAUGCUAAUACCGCAUACGUCCUACGGGAGAAAGCAGGGGAUCUUCGGACCUUGCGCUAAGAGAUGAGCCUAAGUCGGAUUAGCUAGUUGGUGGGGUAAAGGCCUACCAAGGCGACGAUCUGUAGCGGGUCUGAGAGGAUGGUCCGCCACACUGGGACUGAGACACGGCCCAGACUCCUACGGGAGGCAGCAGUGGGGAAUAUUGGACAAUGGGGGGAACCCUGAUCCAGCCAUGCCGCGUGUGUGAAGAGGGCCUUAUGGUUGUAAAGCACUUUAAGCGAGGAGGAGGCUACUGAGACUAAUACUCUUGGAUAGUGGACGUUACUCGCAGAAUAAGCACCGGCUAACUCUGUGCCAGCCGCCGCAGUAA